GAUGAACGCUGGCGGCGUGCCUAAUACAUGCAAGUCGAGCGAACGGACGAGAAGCUUGCUUCUCUGAUGUUAGCGGCGGACGGGUGAGUAGCACGUGGAUAACCUACCUAUAAGACUGGGAUAACUUCGGGAAACCGGAGCUAAUACCGGAUGAUAUUUUGAACCGCAUGGUUCAAAAGUGAAAGACGGUCUUGCUGUCACUUAUAGAUGGAUCCGCGCUGCAUUAGCUAGUUGGUAAGGUAACGGCUUACCAAGGCAACGAUGCAUAGCCGACCUGAGAGGGUGAUCGGCCACACUGGAACUGAGACACGGUCCAGACUCCUACGGGAGGCAGCAGUAGGGAAUCUUCCGCGAUGGGCGAAAGCCUGACGGAGCAACGCCGCGUGAGUGAUGAAGGUCUUCGGAUCGUAAAACUCUGUUAUUAGGGAAGAACAUAUGUGUAAGUAACUGUGCACAUCUUGACGGUACCUAAUCAGAAAGCCACGGCUAACUACGUG
rnacentral:rRNA from 1 species